UACGUAGGGUGCAAGCGUUAAUCGGAAUUACUGGGCGUAAAGCGUGCGCAGGCGGUUGUGCAAGACAGAUGUGAAAUCCCCGGGCUUAACCUGGGAACUGCAUUUGUGACUGCACGGCUAGAGUGCGGCAGAGGGGGAUGGAAUUCCGCGUGUAGCAGUGAAAUGCGUAGAUAUGCGGAGGAACACCGAUGGCGAAGGCAAUCCCCUGGGCCUGCACUGACGCUCAUGCACGAAGCGUGGGGAGCAAACAGG
rnacentral:rRNA from 1 species